AUGGCCAUAGAAGAGCAGUUGGAGUUCUACAAAUUCGAUGAUCUUGAGAACAUGGCCACAGAAGAGCAUUAUAUGGUGACUGAUGUCAUGAGGGAUCCCACUGGAAGAUAUGUGGCAACUGCAUCGGCUGUCCAUGGGAGGGAAAUCAAUCGAAUAUGGUCUUUCACUGGCAAGCAGAUUUACAAGGUGACAAAGAAACAAUUUUCCCAGUUCGAAUGGCGCCCAAGGCCACCUUCACUGUUUACUCUUGCGAAGGAGGAGGAAAUUUCAAUGAAUGAUUGUUGCAGUUCCAAUGAAUGA
rnacentral:rRNA from 1 species